rnacentral:rRNA from 1 species
AGUUUGAUCCUGGCUCAGGACGAACGCUGGCGGCGCGCUUAACACAUGCAAGUCGAGCGAGAACCGGCCUUCGGGCCGGGGAAAGCGGCGAACGGGUGAGUAACACGUGGGUAAUCUGCCCUCGGUACUGGGAUAGCCCGGGGAAACCCGGAUUAAUACCGGAUGGCCCUUUGAGUCCUCGGAUUCACAGGGAAAGGUAGCUUCGGCCUCCGACCGAGGAUGAGCCCGCGGCGGAUUAGCUUGUUGGCGGGGUAAUAGCCCACCAAGCCUACGAUCAGUAACUGGUGUGAGAGCACGACCAGUCACACGGGCACUGAGACACGGGCCCGACUCCUACGGGAGGCAGCAGUAAGGAAUAUUGGUCAAUGGACGCAAGUCUGAACCAGCCAUGCCGCGUGGAGGAUGAAGGUCCUCUGGAUUGUAAACUUCUUUUAUCUGGGAAGAAACCCAUGGAUUCUUCUGUGGUUGA